AAACCUCAAUAGUAUAAAUGUGUAAUAUAUUGUAGAUAUGUAUAUUUUAUAAUAUCGAUAAAUUAUGUAUGUAUGUAUGUACAUACGUAUGUAUGAUAGUGUGCAAAUAUUUCAUGUAACUUUUGUUCAAUAUAUAGAUAUUAAAUGGGUUAUUGGGUAACCCGAUUAUUUUUCCGUGUCGGGUUUGGGUCUCAAUAUUUUGACAUGAUUAUUAAAUGGGUUGACCUAAAUUUGACACGACACGAAACUGAUACGACACGAACACGACCCGAUGACCCAUUUUGCCAGCUCCAUUCAGAAUAUCCGGCUUGCCGCUUUUCAUAUUCGGUAAGCCGCUUUUGAAAUCCGGAUUGCCGCUUGCGAAAUCCGGUAAGUCGUUUAUGCUCUAGAAGCUUACUGUCCAAAAUCAUGUUUGCCGUUUACCAUAUCCGGUAAGCCACUUGCUACAGUGAAAUAUUUUUUAAAUUUACAGUUCGACCCCAAACUUUAUAAAACUGUAGUAUGACCCAAUAUGUUAUGAAAACUUUCAAAUAGGUCCAAUUUUAGAAUUUCUAAAUAAUACUUUGUCAAUCCCAAAACUUUUUGAAAUUAUGAUCUCACCCAAAUUAUGUGAAAUUAUAGAAUGACCCAAAAUAUUUAAAUAGUUUCAAAUAGGUUCAAAUCCGUAAUUUUCAAACAAUAUCAAAGGUUUUAAAAUACUUUCAUGUUAGUCCAAAAUAUUUUAAUUCCAUAACAUCAUUUUCUUAAAAAGCACAAUUCAUAAAUCUUUGUUUAAUCAAUACAUGUAGUUUGUUAUCAUCAAAAUCAAUAUCUAUAGCCAUAUAGGCUAACAAAAGAGUCCCAUAAAAUGACAUCAAAUUCUGCAUUAACAAUUAUUGAAAAAUAUUUCUCUUGCUAAAUUUCUCAAAAUUAAAGCAGAUAAAAAAUAUGGGACUUCUCAAUCAAGAUCAAAGAUUAAAUCAAGGAAGCAUUUAGAAAAUUGAAAGAAAAAAAAUGAAUGCAAAUUAUUAUUGAUAGCUUGAAACACUUCUGGUUAGUCAACGUUAUCUUCGUGCGGAAUCAAAACUUUGUCUACCUUUUAAUUAUGACCAGAAUGUUUGGAAGAGAAGAGCAAAUCUAGCUGAGAUCUAAAGUUUCUCGAUGGGUCAAGGUCAUUGGUCAAGAAUGAUUCUUGAUAUUUGUAUAAAUAUCAAAUCACUCAUGAUUAAUUGAUUGCAUAAUUAACAUUAUCACCAUCAGCAAAUGUACAUGUUUCAGUGAUUAAUUAGUGGCCCGAUCUUUGAUCAAUAUAGAUUACUAAUUAUACCAAAUUUCUGUCGAGAGAUCUGUUGGUAUCUUUUCGAGAGUGGGCUAAUUUUGAAAAUUGAAAAUAAUUUAAAAGUAGUGUCUUAAGAUCAAAAAAAUAUUUUUGUUUAAGAAAAUUAAGAAAAGGAUUCUUAAAAAGAGAAAAAAAUAUUUUUUAAUAAUGUUGUACAUAUUUUCCAAACUUAAUAAUAUACAUAUGCUUUUGUACAUAUUUUCCAAACUUAAUAAUAUACAUAUGCUUUUUUUUCCAGGCUAGAUCACAAUAUACAGACAGCAACUCCGUAUAAGUUAGCCAUAGGCCAAGUUGUAUAUUAAUUUGAGUGAGAUGAUGCCUAAAUUGAGGAAAACAAAUUGCAAAUUGCAUGUUUGUGUUACACUAUGAUAUGGAAAAAGCUAUUUGCAUUUUGCACCGAAUUAAAUCCCGAAUCAAACCCCGACUUCAACGCGCCGUUUUACUUAAGCUAAAAACACACCGUUUGUAAAGUUAUCUCCAUUCCGUUAUCAUACCCUUGGUUAUGUAGCACCCUUGCUUUGGUUGAUUCAGGUUCUCGUCUAUCCUUCUCAACUGGGUUGUUGUUUUUUUGUUGUAUUUUUUUGGGGAAUUUUGCCUUCUUUGAUUAUUUGGUUAACUUUUUCUUUAAUUUUUAUUGUUUUGUUUAUUGAAUUAAAGCAUCAAGUUUUUGUUCUGGCCAUUUUCAUCAGUUCUUUGCCGUCCAACCUCUUUUAGUUCAUUUUCAGCUUGUUUUAGUAAUCUUUCCUCCGCCUUUCUAUUUUUUUGGUGAGUGUCAAUUCGUUACUCUGGUUGUAAAGCAAAUUGGAAUAAUGUUUUUAAACUUUUUAUUAUUUAGAUUUUUCUCUUCGUUUUGUCUUAAAUUGAUUAGAGUUUUGUCUUAAUUUUUCAAUUUAGUUAUUUUCUGGGGUUUUCAUUUCUUGGUUGGAGUAUGAUUUCAAAUAAAGAUCAAAUCUUAAAAUUGAGUUAUAAGUUACUUCUUCCUAUUUCAAGUUGCUUUAGUUUUAGGAUUUAUGGGUUUAAUCUAUAAACAAUCAUUUGAAGCCGAGUUUGAGAUUGAGAUUGAGAAUGGCUGCUAGAGUAGAGAUUGAUGAAGACAGUGAGACUAACAAAGGCAGAAUGUGGGUCUUGGAUUAAAAGCUUUAUCAGCUCAUGGAUGAAGAAGCUAGCAAGGCUUAGAAAUAUAUAAAGAGAAAUAUUCAAGCUGGGUUAUAGUGGUUUGAUAAGCUAGUUUUGUUUGAGUCGGUGGUACUUUAUUUCUUAAAAUGUUGUUCAUGGUUUUCUUGAUUUAUGCUUGACAAAUUAGCAUUUUCAGAAUUUAAAAGAAGCUAAAUCAUUUGCCCAGAAGGAAGAUAAUAGUUAAGUGUGUAUUUGAGGAGAAAGAGGGAAGAUAACAGUUAAGAGAAAGCAGAAGUUAAAUCCUUGGUGCAGUGCAGAUAGCGUUUUCAAUUGAACAAGAAAAUUAAUCCUUAAAACGACGUUGUUUUUGGAAUCUUCGGGGUUUGACUCGGGGUUUGACAAGGGGCAAAUAGCAGCGCUGCUAUGAU
rnacentral:lncRNA from 1 species